rnacentral:rRNA from 1 species
UACGGAGGGUGCAAGCGUUGUCCGGAUUUAUUGGGUUUAAAGGGUGCGUAGGUGGCCCGUUAAGUCAGCUUUGAAAGCUGGUCGCUCAACGAUCAGGGGUGGGUUGAUACUGGCGGGCUUGAAUGGGGUCGAGGUCUUUGGAACGGGUCGUGUAGCGGUGAAAUGCAUAGAUAUGACCCAGAACUCCGAUUGCGAAGGCAGAAGGCUAGGCCCCGAUUGACACUGAGGCACGAGAGCAUGGGGAGCAAACAGG